GAAUCAUUUUCUGGAGAGGGACAGACUGGGAACAUCUCUGAACCCAGGACUCAACACCAUUUCCGAAAAAAGAGCUGCGGGCGUCUUUGGAGACACAGCGUGCUCAGAGCAGUCGACUCUGCGUGGCACUGAAACACGAGCAGACGGCCAAGGACAACCUGCAGAAGGAGCUGCGCAUCGAGCACUCACGCUGCGAGGCCUUGCUGGCUCAGGAGCGGAGCCAGCUCUCUGAGCUCCAGAAGGACCUUGCGGCUGAGAAGAGCCGCACCCUGGAGCUGUCAGAGGCCUUGAGGCAUGAGCGGCUCCUGACCGAGCAGCUGAGCCAGAGGACACAGGAGGCUUGCAUGCACCAGGACACACAGGCCCAUCACGCUCUGCUGCGGAAGCUGAAGGAGGAGAAGUCCCGGGUGGUGGACUUGCAAGCGAUGCUUGAAAAGGUGCAGCAGCAAGCCCUGCAUUCUCAGCAGCAGCUUGAGGCUGAGGCUCAGAAGCACUGUGAGGCGCUCAAGAGAGAGAAGGAGGUAAGUGCCACACUGAAGUCGACGGUGGAAGCCCUGCACACCCAAAAACGGGAGCUG
rnacentral:sRNA from 1 species